GAAAUGCGAUAAGUAAUGUGAAUUGCAGAAUUCAGUGAAUCAUCGAAUCUUUGAACGCACCUUGCGCUCCUUGGUAUUCCUUGGAGCAUGCCUGUUUGAGUAUCAUGAAAUCUUCAAAGUAAAUCUUUUGUUAACUCAAUUGGUUUCUACUUUGGUAUUGGAGGUCUUUGCAGCUUCACACCUGCUCCUCUUUGUUCAUUAGCUGGAUCUCAUUGUUAUGCUUGGUUCCACUCGGCGUGAUAAGUUAUCUAUCGCUGAGGACACUGUAAAAGGUGGCCAAGGUAAAUGCACAUGAACCGCUUCUAAUAGUCCAUUGACUUGGACAAUACUUUUAUGAUCUGAUCUCAAAUCAGGUAGGACUACCCGCUGAACUUAAGC
rnacentral:misc_RNA from 1 species